UUAAAACAUUUCACAUUCUCCAGUUGUUUUUGGUGUAAAUGGGUGUACAGCUCCACCAUUAUUGACAUCUGUACUGGAUGGAGGCGAAGCAGUCAGCUUCAAACCCCUGUCACUUUACUCCCAGGGAUAGAGUCCCUGCUACCCAUUGCAUAGGAGACUCGGUGAGCCCCAGAGCUGCUCUGGGUGCUAUGAAGAAAAGAAAAAUUUCUUGCCCCUGCUGGGAAUCCAACACAAAUCAUUCAAUCUGUAGCCUAGUCACUAUACAAACUGGGCUGGCAGUUAAAUUGCCUUAUUACAAUAUGAUGUAAAGACAGGUAAGUGUGACGUUUAAAUAUUUGGGAAGAAUGGAACAAAUCAAAUUACAUCAUGAAGAACUGUAGAUCAGAUUAAAUUGAGGGAAUGCUUAUGGCCAUUCAGUUCAGAAUGAAUGUGAAGUUUAAAAUACCUAACAAAUUUAGAGUGUCUGAGAACACCAUGCUAAGGAGAAUGUUUGGACCUAAGAUGGAGGAGAUAGCAGGAAGCUGGAGAAGAAUGCAUACCAAGGAGCUUCAUGAUUUGUACCCUUCACUAAAUGUCGCUAAGGUGAUGAAAUCAAGGAGAAUGAGAUAAUGGGCCAUGUAGCAGGCAUGGGAUCAGAAAUGCAUGUAGAAUGUUGGUCUUAAAAUGUGAAUGGGAAAACUGACCUACUGCAAUAUGACGCUGUAUUGUUUGAUAGAUGAUAGCACCAUCUGGGAGGAACCUCCUGCCUCACACUUCUCCACCCUGAAGAUGGGGGAAGCAGAUCCUUAUACACAAAUGCUGGUACCUAUUUGUGACAAUACACAGGGUCACACCCAAGAAGAUCAAAAUCCUAGUAUACCUGCUAAGAGAACUUCAGAUCACUCAUACCAGAGAGAGGAGACCACUUGGAAGACCUAGUCAUGCGAAGGAUUGAUAAUAUUGUAUGAAAGUGAUAUUAAAGAAAUAGGGUGGGAGGAUGUGGACUGCAUUCUUGUGGCUCAGAAUAUGGUCCAAUAGGAAGAUCUGGUGAACAUGGUGAUGAAAGAUGGGUGAUUUCUAGAGUAGGUGAGUGUCUGUUUAGUUCUCAAGAAGGACUGCUUCAUGGUGUAAUUUGUUAGUUAUUAAAACCAUUAUUACGAGUCAUUAAGAAACUACUGAUGGUUUCUUUUUGGCAGCCAUACAAACAGCAAGUGAUUGGUGUGAUGGUUACUUACUGUUACUGAAUAGCUUGAUGCACAUUCCAUGUAUUUCAGCCUAUAUGGUGUGCAAUCUGGCAGUCUGAAGAUUAAUAAACAAAACAUUUUGUUACUAUUUGUGGCAGUGUACAUGAAGAUCACUAACUUCUGGAACAUGACAUGGUGUAGUUUGGUACAGGCCUUGUUUUAAGACAUGGCUUUUGGGUUGUGAGGAUCAGAAGUGAGAAGAUGUGUGGCAGGAAGUAGCAGGGCAGGAGUUUAAUCUGCAUUUUGGGUAAGCAGGAAGGUAAUGCACUCUUAAGUAAGUCCCUGCUAUAAGCCAUACACACUGUACAGUCCUUAUCUCAGUCGACUCAACCAGAUCCACUGUGCAUGUCUUGAGAACUGCCAUGUCUGAAAACUUGGACAGUAGGUAAAUACCAGUGUUUCUCAUGUACUUGGUGCUGUCAUCUUCAGAAUAGAGUAGAAGGAAGUAGAUGCCUCUGAAACAUUGCUACCUAUGUACCAAAUUACAUUGUGUCACAUUGCAAGUAACUGCAUUUUCACAAGGGUUUUUAUGUUCAUAAUUAUCAAAGAUGCAAUUCAUGUGCUCACCAUAAUAGUCCAACCCUUGUACAUCAAAUAUGAUUCUGUUAAAUCUAAAUAAAUUAAUGUUUGCCUCA